AUUGAACGCUGGCGGUAUGCUUAACACAUGCAAGUCGAACGAUGAGAAAGAGCUUGCUCUUUCGAUUAGUGGCGGACGGGUGCGUAACGCGUAGGAAUCUACCUAUUAGUGGGGGACAACUUAGGGAAACUUAAGCUAAUACCGCAUACGCCCUACGGGGGAAAGAAGGGGAUCGCAAGACCUUUUGCUAAUAGAAGAGCCUGCGUAGGAUUAGCUAGUUGGUGGGGUAAAAGCUCACCAAGGCGACGAUCCUUAACUGGUUUGAGAGAAUGAUCAGUCACACUGGAACUGAGACACGGUCCAGACUCCUACGGGAGGCAGCAGUGGGGAGUAUUGGACAAUGGGCGAAAGCCUGAUCCAGCAAUACCGCGUGUGUGAAGAAGGCCUUAGGGUUGUAAAGCACUUUCAAUUGGAAGGAAAACCUCGAAGCUAAUACCUUCGAGUUUGACACUACCUUUAGAAGAAGCACCGGCUAACUCCGUGCCAGCCGCCGCAGUAACAC
rnacentral:rRNA from 1 species